rnacentral:rRNA from 1 species
GAUGAACGCUAGCGGCAGGCCUAAUACAUGCAAGUCGGACGGGAUUCAGGAGCUUGCUUCUGAUGAGAGUGGCGCACGGGUGCGUAACACGUAUGUAACCUACCUUUAUCAGGGGGAUAGCCUCUCGAAAGAGAGAUUAAGCCCGCAUAAAAUCACAGCACAGCAUUGUGUAAUGAUCAAAUAUUUAUAGGAUAAAGAUGGGCAUGCGGAACAUUAGCUAGAUGGCGGGGUAACGGCCCACCAUGGCGACGAUGUUUAGGGGAUCUGAGAGGAUGGCCCCCCACACUGGUACUGAGACACGGACCACACUCCUACGGGAGGCAGCAGUAAGGAAUAUUGGUCAAUGGGCGGAAGCCUGAACCAGCCAUGCCGCGUGCAGGAAGACGGCCCUACGGGUUGUAAACUGCUUUUAUACGGGAAUAAACCCAGAUACGUGUAUCUGGCUGAAUGUACUGUAAGAAUAAGGAUCGGCUAACUCCGUG